GAUGAACGCUGGCUACAGGCUUAACACAUGCAAGUCGAGGGGAAACGACGGGGAAGCUUGCUUCCCCGGGCGUCGACCGGCGCACGGGUGAGUAACGCGUAUCCAACCUGCCUCUGACUGAGGGAUAACCCGUCGAAAGUCGGCCUAAUACCUCAUGGCAUCGUCUGCGGGCAUCCAACGACGAUUAAAGAUUUCAUCGGUCAGGGAUGGGGAUGCGUCUGAUUAGCUAGUUGGCGGGGUAACGGCCCACCAAGGCGACGAUCAGUAGGGGUUCUGAGAGGAAGGUCCCCCACAUUGGAACUGAGACACGGUCCAAACUCCUACGGGAGGCAGCAGUGCGGAAUAUUGGUCAAUGGGCGAGAGCCUGAACCAGCCAAGUAGCGUGCAGGAUGACGGCCCUAUGGGUUGUAAACUGCUUUUAUGCGGGGAUAAAGUGAGGGACGUGUCCUUCAUUGCAGGUACCGCAUGAAUAAGGACCGGCUAAUUCCGUG
rnacentral:rRNA from 1 species